rnacentral:rRNA from 1 species
CGGAAAGACCCCGUGGACCUUUACUAUAGGCUCCUAUUGACCACGAGCAUAUUCUGCGUAGCAUAGGUGGGAGGCUUUGAAGCCUGGGUUCUGGCCCAGGAUUAGCCAAAGGUGAAAUACCACCCUGAGUAAGUUUGUGGUCUAACCUCGUUUCCCGUGAAUCCGGGCGAGGGACAGUUGGUGUCGGGUAGUUUGACUGGGGCGGUCUCCUCCAAAAGAGUAACGGAGGAGCACAAAGUUCGGCUCAGCACGGAUGGAAACCGUGUGUCGAGUGUAAGAGCACAAGCCGGAUUUACUGCGAGACCGACGGGUCGAGCAGUUACGAAAGUAGGUUCUAGUGAUCCUGCGAUCCCGUGUGGAAGGGUCGUAGCUCAACGGAUAAAAGGUACCCCGGGGAUAACAGGCUGAUCGCUCCCGAGCGU